GAGUGAUGGCCAUGGCGUGAAAGAAGGUGACACUUGCAUUAAAACCUCCAAAAGCUGGUUUUCUGGUUUUUCCCUGAUCAAUGCAAGUUUCAUUUUUUUUCUAGCCAUGAUUAUCACUG
rnacentral:pre_miRNA from 1 species